rnacentral:rRNA from 1 species
GAUGAACGCUGGCGGCGUGCUUGACGCAUGCAAGUCGAACGGAAAGGCCCAAGCUUGCUUGGGUACUCGAGUGGCGAACGGGUGAGUAACACGUGGGUGAUCUGCCCUGCACUUCGGGAUAAGCCUGGGAAACUGGGUCUAAUACCGGAUAGGACCACAUUUUGGAUGGUGUGGUGGAAAGUUUUUCGGUGUGGGAUGAGCUCGCGGCCUAUCAGCUUGUUGGUGGGGUAAUGGCCUACCAAGGCGUCGACGGGUAGCCGGCCUGAGAGGGUGUACGGCCACAUUGGGACUGAGAUACGGCCCAGACUCCUACGGGAGGCAGCAGUGGGGAAUAUUGCACAAUGGGCGCAAGCCUGAUGCAGCGACGCCGCGUGGGGGAUGACGGCCUUCGGGUUGUAAACUCCUUUCGCUAGGGACGAAGCGUUAUGUGACGGUACCUGGAGAAGAAGCACCGGCUAACUACGUG